UUCCAGGUUUCUGCAUAUACAUCUGUGCACAUGAAAUAACUUUGACAAGGGACUUUUUAUUGGACAUUCUUAUGUAGAAAAAGCUUUUUUUAUUAUUAAGUAUUUGAAACUUGGUACCCUCAGUAUAUGAGGAAAGAGUUUGCAAGUACCGCCAAUAAGUAAAAAAAAAUAAAAUAAGAUGUACCUCUUUCUUCUUUACAUCUUUCUGCUUUCCUCUCUUUUGUUUUUUCUCACCGGACCAAUUGUCCACCAUCUCAUCAGAUGUGUGUAACGUGAAUCAACAGAACAAGGCAGGUUACACAUCUAUCAUGCUGGCUGCACUCGCAGCUGUGGAAAGUCCAGAGGACAUGAGAAUUGUGGAGCAGCUCUUCACAAAGGGAGACGUCAAUGCCAAGGCCAGCCAGGCUGGUCAGACAGCUCUGAUGCUGGCUGUGAGCCAUGGCAGGAUGGACAUGGUGCAGUCCCUCCUGGCACAGGGGGCGCAGGUCAAUCUCCAGGAUGACGAGGGCUCCACGGCACUGAUGUGUGCAAGCGAGCACGGCAUGCUGACAUUGUUAGACUACUUCUGUCACAGCCAGACUGUGAUGCCACCCUGACUGACAGUGAUGAAAGUACAGCCCUGUCCAUUGCACUGGAGGCAGGACAUAAUGACAUUGCAGUGCUCCUUUACGCACAUGCCAACUUCUCCAAAGGACAGACAGGGGCAGCUGCUCGUCACUGUGGCAAGCCUCUCUCUUCCUCUGGUGGUAGAAAUAUUUUUGAAUGAGCUGAUACCCUGAAGUCUGAAUGCUUACUUCUUGAAUCUUCUGAGUUGGCUAUUAAUCAAAUGAAGCCAUGAAAAAAAAAACCACCUACAAAAAAGGUACUGCAUGUUCUCCUUUGAGAAAAAAUAUCUGAAACCAUCCAUCCAUCCAUCUAUCCAUCGUCAACCGCUUAUCCUGCCUACAGGGUCGCGGGGGGGCUGGAGCCAAUCCCAGCUGACAUCAGGCGCAAGGCGGGGUACACCCUGGACAGGUCGAUAUCUGAAACCAAAAGGAAGAAAUUUUCAUUUUGUAUUAAUUCCCCAAAAUACCAUUAUCUCUGUCCAUGUAUAUGGAGGUGCUCUGCUAAUAACAGGCUAGAUAGCUGCAGCACACUAAACAGCAUAUAGCCUUAACUUCUAUGCAAAUUUCACUUUGGCCCAUUCAGAGUGCGUAAUCUGUAAUACUACUGCUAACAACAUACACUGUAAGCUACAGUGCAAGUUUGUACUUUGUCUCACUUUCCCUGCUGGGGCUCACUGACACACCCCUCCAGCAGCUGAAAGGAAAAAGAUUAUUUCCCCAGAACUUUCUUUCAGCUAUAAUAAAAAAACUACUGACAAUUAACUAAAAAUAAAAAAAGAUGUUGACAUUAUUUUUGACUACAAAGGGAUGACUAAAUGUAAUAUCAGUUGGGCUUUAGAUCAUUAUACAUAGUAGACAAACAGCAGAAACUUCUAGUAAUAAAGUUCUGUAUCAUGAUGACUGGAGGGAAUGAAUAUGCCACACCAAAGAGCUGAAAUUGCAAUAUGUUUCACAUUUAUUUUCUCUUCCAACAAAUUCCAGUGUAGUGUAACCCUGCUGUAAAACAAAAAAAUAAACAGCAAUUUACU